rnacentral:tRNA from 1 species
AGCGGGAUGGUAACAGCUGGUAGUUCGCGAGCCUCAUAAGCUCGAGGUCGAGGGUUCAAGUCCCUCUCCCGCCA